CCGCACCAAUAAGCGUUGAAAAGCUUCUGGAUGAGCUGAGGGUAGGGGUGAAAGGCUAAUCAAACUUGGAGAUAGCUCGUACUCCCCGAAAUGCAUUUAGGUGCAGCCUUGCGGGUUACUGAUGUGAGGUAGAGCGACUGAUUGGAUGCGAGGGCUUCACCGCCUAUCAAGUCCUGACAAACUCCGAAUGCGCAUCAGUUCUACCGCAGGAGUGAGGGCAUGGGUGCUAAGGUCCGUGCCCGAGAGGAGAAGAAUCCGGACCACCGGCUAAGGUCCCGAAAUGACAGCUAAGUUAAACUAACGAAGUCUGAUUGCUAAGACAGCUAGGAUGUUGGCUUGGAAGCAGCCAUUCAUUUAAAGAGUGCGUAACAGCUCACUAGUCGAGGAAUCGGGCGUGGAUAAUAAUCGGGUAUGAAGUUGUCUACCGAAGCCGUGGGAUCAGCAAUGAUCGGUAGGGGAGCAUUCCAUUCCGCGUCGAAGGCGUGGCGUGAGCCAUUCUGGAGCGUAUGGAAAAGCAAAUGUAGGUAUAAGUAACGAUAAAGGGGGUGAGAAACCCCCUCGCCGAAAGACUAAGGUUUCCUGAUCAACGCUAAUCGGAUCAGGGUCAGUCGGGUCCUAAGGCUCAGCCGAACGGCGAGGCCGAUGGCAGAAACGGUUAAUAUUCCGUUACUACCUUUGAGGGUGACGUGGGGAAGCAGUAGUGACACUGCCGCGGGCUGACGGAAUAGCCCGUUAAAGAGUGUAGGCGUUGAUUUCCGCAGGCAAAUCCACGGAAAGAGCCGAACUUGACAGUAUGGAGCGUCCUUCGGGACAAUCCAAUAGCGCAGGUAAGCAGACUGCCGAGAAAAUCCGCUAAACAUAACUUCAGAGGUACCCGUACCGCAAACGGACACACGUAGUCGGGUUGAAUAUACUAAGGCGCUUGGGUGAAUCACGGUUAAGGAACUAGGCAAACUGACCCUGUAACUUCGGGAUAAAGGGUCCCUCCUCGCAAGAGAGGGCGCAGAGAAUAGGUCCAGGCAACUGUUUAACAAAAACACAGGGCUGUGCGAAUAUGAAAGUAGAAGUAUACAGCCUGACACCUGCCCGGUGCUGGAAGGUUAAGAGGAGAUGUCAUCGCAAGAGAAGCAUUGAAUUGAAGCCCCAGUAAACGGCGGCCGUAACUAUAACGGUCCUAAGGUAGCGAAAUUCCUUGUCGGGUAAGUUCCGACCUGCACGAAUGGUGUAAUGAUCCGGACGCUGUCUCAACCGUGAGCCCAGUGAAAUUGUAGUAUCGGUGAAGAUGCCGAUUACCCGCGAUGGGACGAAAAGACCCCGUGAACCUUUACUAUAGCUUAGCAUUGAAUUUGGGCACGCGAUGUGUAGGAUAGGUCGGAGGCUUUGAAGCAGGCACGCCAGUGUUUGUGGAGCCGCUGUUGAAAUACGACCCUUUGUUUGUUUGAAUUCUAACUCUUGGUAAGAGGACAUUGCUUGGUGGGUAGUUUGACUGGGGUGGUCGCCUCCAAAAGCGUAACGGAGGCUUCUAAAGGUGCCCUCAGGACGAUCGGUAACCGUCCGCAGAGUGUAAUGGCAGAAGGGCGCUUGACUGGGAGACAGACAAGUCGAGCAGGUAGGAAACUAGAGCAUAGUGAUCCGGUGUUUCCGUAUGGAAGGGACAUCGCUCAAAGGAUAAAAGGUACUCCGGGGAUAACAGGCUGAUCCCUCCCAAGAGCUCAUAUCGACGGAGUGGUUUGGCACCUCGAUGUCGGCUCGUCACAUCCUGGGGCUGGAGAAGGUCCCAAGGGUUGGGCUGUUCGCCCAUUAAAGUGGCACGCGAGCUGGGUUCAGAACGUCGUGAGACAGUUCGGUCUCUAUCUAUCGUGGGCG
rnacentral:rRNA from 1 species